rnacentral:lncRNA from 12 species
GCGGGCUUGGCUCCUCAAGGUUUAACCAAUCCCUCCCAGCCCACAGCAUGGCCUGGAGGGGCGCCUGACCCAGGGCUGGGGGUGGGGCUCCCAGGCCAGCCCCAUGCCCCGACCACCUGCACACACUCCUCCCAUCGGUGUGGUGCGUGGGCCCCAGCCCUCCCUGCCCAGCAAGUCUCCCCCACAGACACCGUGUCCCCUUUCCCUGGGCCCCCACUCCUGGAUCAGUCAGCACCUGACCCCCUGCUUGCCCGGGAGGGGCUCAGAGACACACACCUAGAGGUCCCUGGACAGCGGUGUAGACGGUGGGUGUCAGAGACGGGAGAGGAAUUGGGGAAGUCUCCCAGCCUUGCUGUCCCUUAUGGUUCCACAGGGAGGUGGAGAUGAAGAGGACACCUGCCCCCGUGUCAGGGGCUUGUCGGGAGGAGUAAACAAGAUGGUACAGGGGUCUCUGGCACUGAGGACGUGCUGGUGGCUGAGGCGGGCAUCCCGCAUCCCAUCUCAGCUACUAACGAGGAAGAAGGCACAGCUCACGCCGUCUCCUGGCUCCCCUUCCUCCCCUCCUCUGUGACCUCACCCCUGCGUUCUUUAGGGACGAACCACCCUCCCAGCUCAGGUUGCACACUAGGGACUGAGGACAGCUCCAGCUCCAGUCCACGCAGAUUCCGGACCCCUGUGUCCCAUUGUGACGGCCACAGUGACAAGCAGAAUGGAUCCUAUCUUCACAUCCCCGAUCCUCCGUCUGUCAAAGACCCGUGAUUCCUGCCACAUACCUGUCCUCUCAGAGCUGGGCCUGGUGGAAGGAAAAGAUGCACAGGGCCAGACAGGACUGCUUUAAUGUGUGAUGGGCUUGCGUUGUUCGCUUUUGCCAGGAGGGACAUCACCUGCAGAAACCACGAGAACGGCAUCUUGUCCCCAAGAUGCCCAAGAAGGCCUUUCCAGGGACACUUGCUCUGCUGUCUGCAAACACCUGUCAUUCAUUUCUCUGCCUCCUGUGGAGACCCCGGAAGGCAGCUGCUGUGGGGAGACCCCAAACAGGAUGAGCAAACUUCCAACAAGUCCCUUCCUAGCUCCUCGUCAGCGUGGGGCGCCCCGAGCAAAGCCCUUGUGCCCUAGCAAGGUGGAGACGGCCGUUCACAUUUGCCAAGUGCCUGUUACCAUAGUACCCGGCACUGCGCAGUGACGUCAUCCUACUCGAACGGAAACCUAGUCACCCGUGUUGUAAUGGGUCAACAUUGUCGAGGAAAGAAAAGGUUAAAGUGCAUUCCGGAGACCUUCCAGGGAGCAAGCACGGAGCAGACACCCCCCGGUCUGUGGCGCCCCAGCAGCCAGGCCUGCCCGAGGUCUGCUGGGACCCCUGUGCUCCUAUCAGUUCUGUGCCGUGGUCACCAGCAAGGGCCACUCACAUCCCUGCAGGGAGCCUUCACCCCGGGUCUGCCUCCUGCACCCACACUCACCCUGAAUAUAGUAAUGUGCUAAGGGACAGCUGGGGAAAGGCUGCUCUCUGUCACUGCAGCUGAGCAUCCUGACCUGGG